GACCCAUCCCCAGCGACGUCAACCUGCAAAGGAAAGGCCAGACCCAUCCCCAGCGACGUCAACCUGCCAAAGGAAAGGCCAGGUAGAACGUGUCAUGCAGUGGUAGAGGUUGGGUGAAAAAGGGACGUGUUUCAUUAUCACCAAGCAGGUACAAUACCCGCAAGGCUUAGGAGGUGAGGGUGAGAAAAAAAUUCGUAUAAAAGGAGAGAGAAAAAGCUACAGACAUUAGUUGGGUGAGCAUCAUCGACACGGCAACAACUGCUGUGAACUACCUGUGCCAACUGGCUUCUUCAUCGGAUUACCAGCUCGCAACAAUUGUUCGCAGUUAGGUCAACUAUAAUGUCGUGCUGCUGUCGGAUGUUGUAUCGUUGAUGGCUGGGUCGACCACUAGUGUAUCAAUGUCUUUUGGGUACGGAUACCAAACCGAAACGCCGCCGCCUUACUACACAACAGCAACAUACGCAACAACCGGUUACUGCACCACCAGGGCUCCAGAGUAUUACACCCAAACUUAUGAUGCUUCGAGCUACUACACCGAUGCCCCGAAGUAUAACUCUGCCCCGAGCUACAUCACCGAAGAGCUGGAGUACUGAACCGAGGCUCCCAAGUAAUAAACCACUAAGGCACCGGAAUCGGUAACAACUGCAGUGCCCCAUCUGUCACCAGCUGCAUUCCGCAUCGUGUAACCAAUUCGCAAUAAUGGUUAACUAUAUCGUCGUUGGGGUUGUAUCGUUGAUGGCUGGGUUGACCACUCCACCGGUGAACCGAUGACUCCUUGGUAUUGCGGAUAUCAAACCGCAACGCCGCCGCCUAACUACACGACAACUGGCGCAACGACUAGUUACUACACCGAGGCCCCCUAAGUACUACACCACUAAAAUACUGAAGUGUUAUACCAAGACUUUCGCUGGCGAAGUAUUUUACCCGUUGCCCCGAAGUAUUGCUCUGCCCCGAGUUACUACACCAGCAAGGCACCGACGUAUGCUGACCCGUACCACUACACCGAGGCUCCCAAGUGCUACUCUGUUCCCAGUUAAUCAACCGAGGCUCCGGCUUAUCACUCCACCAAAACGGUGGAAUACUACACCGAAGUGCCAAAUUACUGCUCUGCCCGAUCCACACAAUCACGACUGAGACUGCCAAGGAUUACGCAGCCCCGACUUACUACACAGAAGUUAACUACGUCGCCGUGCUCUUGGGUGAUGGAUCGUUGAUGGUUGGGUCUACUACGGGUGUACCGAUGUCUCCUGGAUAUGGUUGAUACCGAAACUCAGCAGCGAAAGAAUACUACACCACGCUGCCGACUUACUGAACAGACACGUCAACGCCUACUUGCUAUACCGAAGACCCCAAGUACUACACCACCAAGGCUCCUGACUACUACACCCAGGAUCUAACUUGUCACACCACAGAGGCGUCCAAGUACUGCACUACAACCUACGUUACACCGGAGUACUACACCACGAAGGCACUGGAAUAUUACGUUGAACUGUAAUACUAAACCGAGGCUCCAGUUCACUACACUACUACCUGCGCUGCUCCCAAGUACUACACCACCAAGGCGUCCGAGUAUUACACCACUACUUAGGCAACCACGACCUACUACACCGAAGCUCCGAAAGCAGUACUCUGCCCCGAGUUGCUACACCACUAACGCAACCGAAUAUUACACCUCAAACUAAGCUUCCGAAUUUCGCAAACAUGGUAAACUAUGGCGUCAUGCUGCUGUUGGGUGUUGUAUUGUUGAUUGCUGGGUCGUCCACUGGUGUACCGACGUCUCCUGGGAAUGUCGGAUAUCUAAGCAAAACGCCGCCGUCUUACUACACAACAUAAUACGCAACCAUCAGUUACUACACCGAGUCGCCCAACUAGUACACCACCAAAGCUCCAGAGUUGCACCACAACUUAUGCUGCCCCGAGCUACAUCACCAAAGAUCCUGAGUUCUACACCGAACCACCAAGUCACCGGAGUUCUACACGUAUGCAGCCCUAGCGUACUACACCGAGCCGUCCAACUACUACACCACCAAGGCUCCAGAUUAUACGCUAAAACUUAUGCUGCCCCGAGCUACACCAUCAAGGCACCGAAGUACUACACCAUCAAGGCACCGAAGUACUAAACCUCUACGUGUGCUGCGCUAGCUUACUACACCGAUGUUUGCAAGUACGGUUCCAACUUAUUACACCACAAGAACGGCCGAAUACUACACAGAAGCGCCCAAAUACAACUCUGCCAUGAGCUACAUAAUCAAAACUGACGCGGCCAAGUAUUACAUUGCCUCAACUUCCUACACAACCACCGUCUCUUCGUAUAUCGUUGAACCGAAAUUCUUCACUGAAGCUCCAAUUAUCACAGCCUACGCUACACUCAGCUACUACACCGAAGCUGCGAACUCUUACUCCGCCCCGAGUAACUACACUACUGAGGCACCUGAAUAUUACACCAAAACCUACGCUUCUCCAACUUACUACAGGGACGUUCCUAAAUUAGAGUCGAAUUUUCAAUUUUAAUAAUUAUGUUCAGACUUUUCGGUCAUAUCUUAAUAUUUACUAGUCACUGGGAAUUGUUGUUGAUCUUUAAUGAGAAAAUAAAUUUUUCAUACUGGGUAA